GGGGAUGUAGCUCAGUGGUAGAGCACUUGCCUAGCAUUAUGACUGAAGUCCUGGGUUCCAUCCCCA
rnacentral:tRNA from 1 species